rnacentral:misc_RNA from 1 species
CUUUUCUUCCGGUUGAGGCGACCUGAUCGCAAAGAUCAGCUAUGAAGCUCAACAUCUCAUAUCCAGCCACUGGCUGUCAAAAACUCAUUGAAGUCGAUGAUGAAAAGAAACUGCGUCCAUUCUAUGAAAAGAGGAUGGCAUCAGAAGUGCCAGCUGACAGUCUUGGAGAUGAAUGGAAGGGGUAUGUUCUAAGAAUUGCUGGAGGCAAUGACAAACAGGGAUUUCCCAUGAAACAGGGAAUUCUUACCAACGUCCGUGUGAGAUUGCUUCUCAGCAAAGGACAUUCCUGCUUCCGCCCCAGACGCACUGGAGAGCGUCGUAGAAAGUCCGUCAGAGGAUGUAUUGUAGACUCCAACCUUAGUGUUUUGGCUAUGGUCAUCGUCAAAAAAGGUGAGAAGGACAUCCCUGGCCUGACUGACACCACCAUUCCCCGUCGUCUGGGACCCAAGAGAGCCAGCAAAAUCAGGAAGCUGUUCAAUCUAUCCAAGGAAGAUGACGUUCGUCAGUACGUCGUCAGGAGGCCUCUCCCACAGAAGGAGGAUCUUGACGAGAGAAAUUAUCUGAGAUACUGCCAUAUUGACUGGUUUUCGAGGGGUGUCAAUUUCAACUGUUACCCUACCAAACAGGCACUAUUUAUAUAGUGUUACCCGUUGCCAAGUGUGUUGCUAACGCUGAGGGUACUAGAAUGGAUUACCAAUGUAAGAAGGCUAAGACAAAGGCCCCCAAAAUCCAGAGACUGGUCACACCAGUUGUUCUGCAGAGAAAGAGACACAGACUGGCCCUGAAAAAGAAGAGGCACUCUAAGCGCAGGGAAGAUGCUGCCGAGUACGCCAAAAUCUUGGCACAGAGACUAAAGGAGGCAAAGGAGAGAAAGAGGAGUAGGUCCAACAGCAGGACCUCAAUGUCCGCCUCAACAUCUAAGUGAGGAUGUUAUUUAAGAAAUUAAAAAAAUGACAAACC